UACGUAGGGUGCGAGCGUUGUUCGGAAUCACUGGGCGUAAAGCGCGCGUAGGCGGGUUUGUAAGUCGAUUGUGAAAGCCCUGGGCUUAACCCGGGAAUUGCAGUCGAAACUGUGAAUCUUGAAUGUUUGAGAGGAUGGUGGAAUUCCAGGUGUAGAAGUGAAAUUCGUAGAUAUCUGGAGGAACAUCGGAGGCGAAGGCGGCCAUCUGGCAAAACAUUGACGCUGAAGUGCGAAAGCGCGGGGAUCAAACAGG
rnacentral:rRNA from 1 species